UGAGGAAUUUUGGACAAUGGGGGAAACCCUGAUCCAGCGAUGCCGCGUGAGUGAAGAAGGCCCUAGGGUUGUAAAGCUCUUUUAACAGUGAAGAUAAUGACGGUAACUGUUGAAUAAGCCCCGGCUAACUCUGUGCCAGCAGCCGCGGUAAUACAGAGGGGGCUAGCGUUGUUCGGAAUUAUUGGGCGUAAAGGGCGCGUAGGCGGUCAGGCAAGUCAUUUGUUAAAGACUCAGGCUCAACCUGAGAGAUGCAUUUGAUACUGCUUGGCUAGAGUUUGAGAGAGGAGAGUGGAAUUCUCGGUGUAGGGGUGAAAUCCGUAGAUAUCGGGAGGAAUAUCAGAGGCGAAGGCGACUCUCUGGAUCAAUACUGACGCUGAGGCGCGAAAGCGUGGGGAGCAAACA
rnacentral:rRNA from 1 species